UUCUGCCCUAUCAACUUGUUGGUAAGGUAUUGGCUUACCAAGGUUGCGACGGGUAACGGGGAAUCAGGGUUCGAUUCCGGAGAGGGAGCCUGAGAAACGGCUACCACAUCCAAGGAAGGCAACAGGCGCGCAAAUUACCCAACCUAGACAGUAGGAGGUGGUGAAGAGAAUUACUAGGUGGUGACUCAAUGAGUUACCAGUUUGGAAUGAACGUAACUUAAGAAAUUCGAUGAGAAACAACUGGAGGGCAAGUCCUGGUGCCAGCAGCCGCGGUAAUUCCAGCUCCAGUAGUUUGCUUUAAAGUUGUUGCGUUUAAAACGCUCGUAGUUGGAUCACGCAGCAGUGCCCAGUAAUCUACUAGUUGACGUUCCAUUGGAACCCACCUCGGUGGCCUUUCAGGAGCGCCGGUAGCAGAUACUAACGCUGAGCACUGUUAGUUGCACGUGAGAUGAAUUGUUGGCCUUUAUUGAGCCGGUAUUCUCGUCUUGCGGAGUGUGCCUUGAAUAAAACAGAGUGCUUAAAGCAGGUCGUUGCCUGAAUGUUAUAGCAUGGAACGAACAAUCGUGUAUAUGUGUGCAUCCUUGACCGGUGACGAGCCUUAGGCUUGUUGUUGGUCUGGGUGCAUACGGCACCCACCUAAAUAUGGCUGUUGGUUCCAUAUACGGUGAUGAUUAAAAGGAGCGGUUGGGGGCAUCGGUAUUUGGCCGCGAGAGGUGAAAUUCUUAGACCGGCCAAGGACUAACAAAUGCAAAGGCACUUGUCUAGACCGUUUCCAUUAAUCAAGAACGAAAGUGGGAGGUUCGAAGACGAUCAGAUACCGUCCUAGUUCCCACCGUAAACUAUGCCGACCUGGGAUCAGUUUAGAGAUGUUACAAGCUCUAGGUUGGUCCCUCCGCGAAACCA
rnacentral:rRNA from 1 species